rnacentral:tRNA from 1 species
AGCUAGUAGCAUUAACCUUUUAAGUUAAAGAUAGGGAAACCAAAUUCCCCUUAAUGG